UACAGAGGGGGCGAGCGUUGUUCGGAAUUACUGGGCGUAAAGGGCGCGUAGGCGGCCUGCUAAGUCGGACGUGAAAUCCCUGGGCUCAACCCAGGAACUGCGUCCGAUACUGGUUGGCUUGAAUCCGGGAGAGGGAUGUGGAAUUCCAGGUGUAGCGGUGAAAUGCGUAGAUAUCUGGAGGAACACCGGUGGCGAAGGCGACAUCCUGGACCGGUAUUGACGCUGAGGCGCGAAAGCCAGGGGAGCAAACGGG
rnacentral:rRNA from 1 species